CGGCGGCUGCAUCUCCGAUCCGGCCAAGGCGAGCGACUCGACUCCGGAACUCGAGGAAGCCCCGCCCACGCCAAAGCCCCGCCCCGGACCUGGCUCAGCUCCGCCCCCGUCCCGCCCACGCCUCGUCCGACUUCGCGCAGGGCUGUGAAGCGCGAAGGUGCCGAGAAGAAACCGGAUCAACUUCUGUUACUACUGCUAAAACUCCGGAAAGGGUCGGAGCCGCCGAGUGGACGCCGCGUCUGCUGCGCGAUCUCCGGUGAUGGCGCGAAGGGUGACGUGUGGCAAGGAGGAACUCAGUUUGUGACCAGGGAAACUGAGUCACUGGAUGCCUGAGCAAAGAUGAUUUUGACAAGGGAAACAGGACUGUUCUCAGACCUUUGCCAAAUUCCCAGAGAACUGGAAAAGCCCGCGUGAGUGGUGAGAAAAUUGCCUGGAGCCAGGAAGAAACCAGUCCCAGAGGAAAACAGAACUGAAGUACUCGCCACCAUUGUGUAAUGAAGAAUCCUCAUGGUGGAAUAAGUGGAGUAAAUCCUAAACCAAACCCCUCUCCCCAAAGCACUCCCCUCCUUGGUUUCCCCCUUUCUCUGAAAGCUGACGGCCAAUGUCCAGCAGCAGAAGGCCACCCUCCUGUCUUGAUAUCCCCUCCUGGCCCACUCAGGAGUCUAAGGUCAGGACAAGUUACCUGUACAUCCUUCCAGGUGGUGAUAAGACUGACUUCCAAGUCAAUCUGAGCUACCUGGUCAGAGUCAAUCUGUGGAAGAGUCAAAAAGAAGUGUGUAUUGUGGAGGUGGGGGGGUGGUACUAGGAAAUGAGGGAAGAAGGGAGAGAUGUACAAGACCAGAGGGUCUAUAUGAGAGCAUUAGAGGCCAGAAGAGCUAAGAACUAAUGGGGCAUGGGCAUUUGGAGUGAUGUUAUGGGAUAGAGGGGCCCAGGGCUCUGGAAGGUGAUUCCCGAUGCAGAGGGCUUUCAGAGGUGUGGGCUGGGGUCCUGUUGGGGAGAGCAAGAUCUAGAAUCCAGGAAGAGGGACUAUA